GCCUUAGUAACGGCGAGUGAAGCGGCAAUAGCUCAAAUUUGAAAUCUGGCUCUUUCAGAGUCCGAGUUGUAAUUUGUAGAAGAUGCUUCGGCUUACGUACUGGUCUAAGUUCCUUGGAACAGGACGUCACAGAGGGUGAGAAUCCCGUUUGUGGCCGGUACUUCCGCUAUGUGAAGCUCCUUCGACGAGUCGAGUUGUUUGGGAAUGCAGCUCUAAAUGGGAGGUAAAUUUCUUCUAAAGCUAAAUAUUGGCCAGAGACCGAUAGCGCACAAGUAGAGUGAUCGAAAGAUGAAAAGCACUUUGGAAAGAGAGUUAAAAAGUACGUGAAAUUGUUGAAAGGGAAGCGCUUGCGACCAGACUUGCCUUUAGUUGCUCCGCCGGUCCUUCGACCGGUGUAUUCUUCUAUUGUCAGGCCAGCAUCAGUUUGGGUGGUUGGAUAAAGACUUUGGGAAUGUGACUCUCUUCGGGGAGUGUUAUAGCCCUUUGUGCAAUACAGCCUACCUAGACUGAGGACCGCGCUUCGGCUAGGAUGCUGGCGUAAUGGUCGUAAGCGGCCCGUCUUGAAACACGGACCAAGGAGUCUAACAUCUAUGCGAGUGUUUGGGUGUCAAACCCGUGCGCGAAAUGAAAGUGAACGGAGGUGGGAACCUUUGGGUGCACCAUCGACCGAUCCUGAUGUCUUCGGAUGGAUUUGAGUAAGAGCAUAGCUGUUGGGACCCGAAAGAUGGUGAACUAUGCCUGAAUAGGGUGAAGCCAGAGGAAACUCUGGUGGAGGCUCGCAGCGGUUCUGACGUGCAAAUCGAUCGUCAAAUUUGGGUAUAGGGGCGAAAGACUAAUCGAACCAUUA
rnacentral:rRNA from 1 species